AGAGUUUGAUCCUGGCUCAGAUUGAACGCUGGCGGCAUGCCUUACACAUGCAAGUCGAACGGUAACGCGGGGCAACCUGGCGACGAGUGGCGAACGGGUGAGUAAAGCAUCGGAACGUGCCCAGUAGUGGGGGAUAGCCCGGCGAAAGCCGGAUUAAUACCGCAUACGACCCAAGGGUGAAAGCGGGGGAUCGCAAGACCUCGCGCUAUUGGAGCGGCCGAUGUCAGAUUAGGUAGUUGGUGGGGUAAAGGCCUACCAAGCCGACGAUCUGGAGCUGGUCUGAGAGGACGACCAGCCACACUGGGACUGAGACUCGGACCAGACUCCUACGGGAGGCAGCAGUGGGGAAUUUUGGACAAUGGGCGCAAGCCUGAUACAGCCAUGCCGCGUGCGAGAAGAAGGCCUUCGGGUUGUAAACCGCUUCCCUUUGGUAGAAAUCCACUGAGCUAAUACCUCGGGGGGAUGACCGCACCUGAAGAACAUGCACCCGCUCACUACGUGACAUCAG
rnacentral:rRNA from 1 species